rnacentral:lncRNA from 1 species
AAGAUUCUACUUUUCUAACAAGCUUUUCGCUGAUUUGAUGCUGUUGAUUCAUGGACCGUCCUUUGAAGAGCAGAGCAGACGGUGGGCCAGUUAGUGCUGGAUCCAGUUAUGAUCUCCUCUACUUGUUGUAAAGUAUUUAAUACAGCACCUGGCAUAGGGUCAGCCCGUCACUAUUACUGCUUUAUUAUCUGUGUAGGAUAAACCGGAAAACUUAUCCUUGAUGCACUGUUUAAUAUUAUCAAAACUGGGACGAAGUUGAUCCUCAUCUUCAAGGACGUGUUACAAGCCUUAUGGAAUUUGCUGGUCAUCUGUAGCUAAGCAAGCUGAGCAAAUCUGACAGCCCUUGUGCAGAGUCCCUGUGGACGUCACUCACUCUCAGCCCUUGCUCCAUGCACCCCCUCCUGUGGGCCAACAGAAGAGGAAACCAAAUGUUUUCAUCAGCAGCCAGGGAAGUCGGAGCCACCUUACAAAGGGACCCAGUGCUGCAUUAUUAAACCAGCCCUGAAAGAAAGGAGAGCAGAGGAAAAGAUUUUCAUGAAAAUUGUUACAUAUUAUAACACAGAUCCUGUGCGCAAAAGAUGAAGAUACUGUUGUCGACUGGCACGGCGUCAGAGGAAAACCGGAGGAGGGUCAGACGGUCAUUCCUGGGCCCUCCCCGCCUCCAGAGCAGCGAAUCAUCCCGCGGCCCGCAGAUACCCAAGCCGCGAAACAGGACGAGCCCCCAGGAGAGCUCCGCUACAGUCACAGUAUGUUUUCUUAUGUGGUUAAUAGAUACAGAGGGAGGGAAACUGCCCUUCAAACGUUUUGGCAAAGAGAGAGAUCCAGAAGAUGAGGUCCGGGAACCGAGCACCUGGUCAGCACUCUGCGUGCGAAACCAGUGCCCAGAUACGAAAGCUCUGCAGCGAGAUGUGAGCUCUGGCAAGUGGCGCGGCACCUACCCGUCCCGGAAGCCAGAUCAAAGAGCCUUCUCAGACACCCUCACUUUCCAGCAUCCACAGAACUUGACUUUAGGAAUUCCUUCCACGCCCAGUCUACCUCUUCCUGCUCUGGGCGCCCUGUGCACUUGGAGGCUGGGGGAGGAGAAUGGAAGGAUAUAAACUUGUGAAAUAAAUAUUUUUGGGAAACCUUCAGAUUGUCUCAGAAUCAGCAGGACACAUGGGGCAGGCACAAUAGGUUCACUUUCAUGUGGAUGCUGGAGCAGGCAAGACUUCCAAGUAAAAACUCUGAAUGUGAAUUUAGCUAGUUUUGGAUAAAGACGCCUUUCAGCGUCAAUAAACACCCUGAAUGCAGCCGCGGUGGAGUUACAACUUAAUGAGAUGAGGGGAAGUGCACCGGGUCAGGCCUCAUCUCCCAGCCUCUGUCAUGCUAAUCAGCUGGGCAGCCGGCAGCUGAAAAACUGCUGGAAUUUUUAUUUGCAUUUCAUUUACUUGGAAGGAAAUUGACCCAGAUGGUCCACAAAGGCCCUAGAAGGCUGGCAAGCAGUGUAGGGCUGCACACUUCUCAGAGGGCCUGCACUUGUCUGCCCAUCCUUCUUUGAGCCUAGGGCAUAAAAGAUUAAAACAGCGUAAGGGAAUUGAUUUCAUGAUUUUUAGAUAAUUUCCCCAAGAUUUUAGAAAGGACCUCAAAAACCUAAUUUAAUCAGCCAGGAGCUCAAUAGUAAUUAAGAGGAAGAAAAGCUGAGAUAAUGAAAGAGGUGGUGAGGAUUUUUGCUGUUGCUGGUGGGAACCUUUCUUAAUUAGGAAAAGUCUAAAAACUAAAUGAUGUUAAUAGAGACAAGCAUAGACACCGAGAGCCAGCGGCCGGCGGCCGGCGCCACAGUCAGCCCAUGAUGGAUUGCCCACGGAGUUCUCUUUCUCCAAAGAGAGUCCAAACAAUUGGCCACAGAGGUGCCCUGCAUGGCAUUUCCAUGGGUAUUUGCUUGAAUCUUGAAAGUUGGAGUCCAGAGGUCCCUGCCAAUGGAGAGCUCAUUCUCAUCCAGGUGAGAUUCACUCCUCAUCAUGACCCUUGGAUGAUUGGGAGCACAGAUGUGGGGUCAGGCUGUCACCAUCCAAAUCCUGGCUCUGCCAACUGCCAGCUGUGUGACCUUGGGUGAGUUAGCCUUCAACUCUGCACCUCAGUGUCCUUGAGUGUAAGAUAGAGAUAAUAAUAGUCCCCUCCCUAUAGGGUCCUUGUGCAUAUGAAAUGAGGUAAGGCACAGAGAGUGCUUAGCACAGGGCCAGGAAUGUAAGUAGGGCCAAAUAAAUGGCAGAUGUUGUUGUUAAAUGAACAUUCUCUUCCA